AACGAAGAGGAGCUUUCACGUUUGCUCUUAAUCCAGAGCCGCCUGUUUGCAAUUCCGAGCAGCCGCGGACCUGCCCCGCUUUCCCGCUGCCCCGCGGAGGAGUCACCGCGUCCGGCCGGCCCCCCACCGCCGCGUGGAGCCGCUGGCGCGGGGGCACGGUGGGCGGCCCGGGAGGAGCUGCAGGGCGCGGACACCGGGGGCGGCCCGGGAGGAGCUGCAGGGCGCGGACACCCGUGGGCAGCCGGGAGGAGCUGCAGGGCGCGGGCACCGGGGGCGGCCCGGGAGGAGCUGCAGGGCUCGGACACCGGGGGCGGCCCGGGAGGAGCUGCAGGGCGCGGACACCCGUGGGCAGCCGGGAGGAGCUGCAGGGCGCGGGCACCGUGGGCGGCCCGGGAGGAGCUGCAGGGCUCGGACACCGGGGGCGGCCCGGGAGGAGCUGCAGGGCGCGGACACCCGUGGGCAGCCUGGAGGAGCUGCAGGGCGCGGGCACCGUGGGGCGGCCCAGAGGAGCUGCAGGGCGCGGACACCCGUGGGCGGCCCGGGAGGAGCUGCAGGGCGCGGGCACCGUGCUGGUGGGGCGGGCGCGGGCUCCGUGCUGCUUGUCUCAUUGCGCUGACAUUUGAGGGCACAAAGUGCGCAGCCUUUCUUGGGCAGGGGCUGGGGGUGCCAGUGCCAAGCCCCCCAAGGCGGCGGGACCCCUCGGCUCCUCCAGAGGAAGGGAGCUGUCGGCCACACCCGAGCUGGCUUGGAGCCCCGCAGGCUGGCAGGCGCCGCCCUCCUACCGCCAACGUCAAGUCCGUGUUUGUGGACCCGCAGGUGGAACGCGGCCGUGGGCCCCCUGGCGUGGCCGCCAGCCUCCGCCCGCCUCCCGCCAACCUCCGCCCAGCCUCCGCCGGCCUCCGCCCGCCUCCCGCCAACCUCCGCCCAGCCUCCGCCGGCCUCCGCCCAGCCUCCACCAGCCUCCACCCAGCCUCCGGCCGGCCAGCCUCCGCCCAGCCUCCACCCAGCCUCUGCCCGGCCAGCCUCCGCCAGCCUCCGCCAGCCUCUGCCCAGCCUCCACCAGCCUCCGCCCAGCCUCUGCCCAGCCUCCGCCAGCCUCCACCAGCCUCCACCCAGCCUGUGCAGCGGGGCCCGUGCUCGCCAGCCGCCAGGGCGUCGCCCCCCCCCCCCCGCCCCCCGCGGCCGCGGUCCUCGGCGGCAGGUGCUCUCGGGUGUGACCCGGCGCGUGAAGGCCGCGGCUGUCCCCGGCCUCAGCUGCCUGCGGCGAGGAGCGUCUCUAAGCUGCCCGGCGGCCGCCACCCAGCGCCACCCAGCUCCGGUGCGGGCGAGGCCACCCCCUGCCGACACCCUCCUCCCUGGAGGCCGCGUCCUCGGCAGGGGGCCUGGUUCCUUCCCGGCCGCAGCCCGCCCUCCCCCGUGGCCCGCGCCGUGUACAGGGUCAGCAGCGCCCCCCCCACCCCUCCGCAUCGCGACGGGGCCACCGGGUGGCCGAGGAGCCUCAGGACGCGGGAACCCUCAAUCCUGCGGGGCAGGAGGCCACGGCGUCCAGGCCCGGCCGAGGCCCCCCAGUGCUCGAGCCCGCGCUUGCUUGACGCCGCGCGGGUCCUUCCCACAGUCGGAGGAGCCUGGCUCUCUGGCUUUCCAGAACAGACCAGCGGUGGGCUUUGGCCAAGAUGA
rnacentral:lncRNA from 1 species